GGAUGUAUGGCUCAGCUGGUAGAGCGUGGUGCUUACAACGUCAAGGUUGUGGGUUCGAUUCCCCCGACCAUCCA